ACCAAUGGCAGCUUCCAAUGGGGAUUUGAUAUGGACCAUUGGACCCGACAAGACGCUUACCAACGACUCUACUGGGGAUUUUUCUUUUUUUUUCGGAGACAGAAACCACGACUAGACGCCAACGGACGAAUAGGAAGGACUCAACCAGACAUCAACGGAUGAAUGGGAGAAAGAAACCACGACUAGACGCCAACGGACGAAUAGGAAGGACUCGACCAUACAUC
rnacentral:lncRNA from 1 species